rnacentral:tRNA from 1 species
UCCCUGGUGGCUCAGAUGGUAAGGAGUCUGCCUGCAAAGCAGGAGACCCAGGUUCGAUCCCUGGAUUGAGAA